UAUUUUUUUUCUUUUAGGGCUAUAUUUAGGAUAUUCUUGAUUCAUUCCAUAGAACCUGUCCUAUGUGUUUAAGAAAUUACCCAUCUUAGCUGUUCGUGUUUCAUCCUGAGAUUCAGUCUGUCUACAACAGUCACUAUUGUGAAGUCAUCAGAGUAAACACUAGAGUUUAACUGGGGGAGAAAUAGGUCAGGGAAGCAGAGACCAAAUGUUCAUUUUGCAGCCAGAAUGUGAGCAGAUGGAUAACAGAAUGAGAUGCUCCUCUUUGUGGGCCUUGGUUUUCUGUGUAUUCUUUCAGGGUCUCCUGAGAUUCAUGGUCCUUCAAGAUCCCCAAGUGCUGUGAACAGAUGAACAUGGAGGAUGAUUUCUUUCUAACAAAAGGACCACAAUUAUUACCCUCAUGCCUGCUCUGUUAUGCAGAGAACAAGCUUGAUAAGAGAUAUCCUCUUUCCCCCUUAUUUAUCUGGGAGUAUUGAAAAACUACAGCAUCCCAGAAGGAAAUCCUGCUAGAAAGCUCCACUUUCAACUGGUGACCAAUGAGCUGUAUCACCAGGGGUCACCAGUGGCCAGCAUCUAGAGGAGGGUCCAUUUUGCUCUCAUGGCAUCCAGUCCAUCAGGUACUAAAGAUACUGGAGAAAAAUCUUCCUUGUGGAAGUAAAGCUUUUGGCCUUAAAACCUUGAAGACAAACUAAAACAACUUGGUUUGACUUGGAUG
rnacentral:lncRNA from 1 species